CAGCACUUUCCCGGUUAUGGCUGUUACAUCUCCCUCUCUCUUCAUAUGGUUCCAUUGUACCUUUUAUGUGUCUCUCGUGGUUCUAUUCUGUGACGUGGACUAUGCAUCGUCUCUUUUGGUUCCAAGUUAACUCUUCACUUCAGUUCUAUUCUGCAUCAUCCUCACUCAAUGUUCUGGCCUACAGCUCUCACAUUUUAGUCUACACUUUCCUUUUCAUUAAUCUUUUAUCU